rfam:Salmo salar isolate Sally breed double haploid chromosome ssa11, whole genome shotgun sequence.
UGCAUUCACUACUGUAAGUCGCUCUGGAUAAGAGCGUCUGUUAAAUUACAAAAA